rnacentral:rRNA from 1 species
CCCUUAGACGUUCUGGGCCGCACGCGCGCUACACUGACCAGUGCAACAAGCAUCCGUCCUUGGCCGACAGGCCCGGGCAAUCUUUGAACGCUGGUCGUGAUGGGGAUAGACUUUUGCAAUUUUUGGUCUUCAACGAGGAAUUCCUAGUAAACGCAAGUCAUCAACUUGCAUUGAUUACGUCCCUGCCCUUUGUACACACCGCCCGUCGCACCUACCGAUUGAAUGGUCCGGUGAAGCCUCCGGAUUGGCGCGCACCUCGGUGCCGCCGAGAAGUUGGCUAAACCUUACCAUUUAGAGGAAGGUGAANUCGUANCA